rnacentral:rRNA from 1 species
GACGAACGCUGGCGGCGUGCUUAACACAUGCAAGUCGAACGGAAAGGCCCUGCUUUUGUGGGUUGCUCGAGUGGCGAACGGGUGAGUAACACGUGAGUAACCUGCCCUUGACUUUGGGAUAACUUCAGGAAACUGGGGCUAAUACCGGAUAUGAGCUCCUGCUGCAUGGUGGGGGUUGGAAAGUUUCGGCGGUUGUGGAUGGACUCGCGGCUUAUCAGCUUGUUGGUGGGGUAGUGGCUUACCAAGGCUUUGACGGGUAGCCGGCCUGAGAGGGUGACCGGCCACAUGGGGACUGAGAUACGGCCCAGAAUCCUACGGGAGGCAGCAGGGGGGAAUAUUGCACAAUGGGCGGAAGCCUGAUGCAGCAACGCCGCGUGCGGGAUGACGGCCUUCGGGUUGUAAACCGCUUCCGCCUGUGACGAAGCGUGAGUGACGGUAAUGGGUAAAGAAGCACCGGCUAUCUACGUG